AUACGGAGGGGGCAAGCGUUGUUCGGAAUUACUGGGCGUAAAGGGCGCGUAGGCGGAUCGUCACGUCAGAGGUGAAAGGCCUGGGCUCAACCUGGGAACUGCCUUUGAAACUGAUGGUCUAGAGUCCGGAAGAGGAUGGCGGAAUUCCCAGUGUAGAGGUGAAAUUCGUAGAUAUUGGGAAGAACACCAGUGGCGAAGGCGGCCAUCUGGUCCGGUACUGACGCUGAGGCGCGAAAGCGUGGGGAGCAAACAGGAUUAGAAACCCUGGUAGUCC
rnacentral:rRNA from 1 species